rnacentral:rRNA from 1 species
GACGAACGCUGGCGGCGUGCUUAACACAUGCAAGUCGAGCGGAAAGGCCCUUCGGGGUACUCGAGCGGCGAACGGGUGAGUAACACGUGAGUAACCUGCCCCAGACUUUGGGAUAACCCUCGGAAACGGGGGCUAAUACCGGAUACGACACAGCUUCGCAUGGGGUCUGUGUGGAAAGUUUUUCGGUUUGGGAUGGGCUCGCGGCCUAUCAGCUUGUUGGUGGGGUGAUGGCCUACCAAGGCGACGACGGGUAGCCGGCCUGAGAGGGCGACCGGCCACACUGGGACUGAGACACGGCGCAGACUCCUACGGGAGGCAGCAGUGGGGAAUAUUGCACAAUGGGCGGAAGCCUGAUGCAGCGACGCCGCGUGAGGGAUGACGGCCUUCGGGUUGUAAACCUCUUUCAGCAGGGACGAAGCGUAAGUGACGGUACCUGCAGAAGAAGCGCCGGCCAACUACGUGC